rnacentral:rRNA from 1 species
GAUGAACGCUGGCGGCGUGCCUAAUACAUGCAAGUCGAGCGAACAGAUAAGGAGCUUGCUCCUUUGACGUUAGCGGCGGACGGGUGAGUAACACGUGGGUAACCUACCUAUAAGACUGGGAUAACUUCGGGAAACCGGAGCUAAUACCGGAUAAUAUUUCGAACCGCAUGGUUCGAUAGUGAAAGAUGGUUUUGCUAUCACUUAUAGAUGGACCCGCGCCGUAUUAGCUAGUUGGUAAGGUAACGGCUUACCAAGGCGACGAUACGUAGCCGACCUGAGAGGGUGAUCAGCCACACUGGAACUGAGACACGGUCCAGACUCCUACGGGAGGCAGCAGUCGGGAAUCUUCCUCAAUGGGCGAAAGCCUGACGGAGCAACGCCGCGUGAGUGAUGAAGGUCUUCGGAUCGUAAAACUCUGUUAUUAGGGAAGAACAUAAGUGUAAGUAAAUGUGCACGUCUUGACGGUACCUAAUCAGAAAGCCCCGGCUAACUACGUG